rnacentral:rRNA from 1 species
UGGGGAAUUUUGGACAAUGGGGGAAACCCUGAUCCAGCCAUCCCGCGUGUGCGAUGAAGGCCUUCGGGUUGUAAAGCACUUUUGGCAGGAAAGAAACGUCGCGGGUUAAUACCCCGCGGAACUGACGGUACCUGCAGAAUAAGCACCGGCUAACUACGUGCCAGCAGCCGCGGUAAUACGUAGGGUGCAAGCGUUAAUCGGAAUUACUGGGCGUAAAGCGUGCGCAGGCGGUUCGGAAAGAAAGAUGUGAAAUCCCAGAGCUUAACUUUGGAACUGCAUUUUUAACUACCGGGCUAGAGUGUGUCAGAGGGAGGUGGAAUUCCGCGUGUAGCAGUGAAAUGCGUAGAUAUGCGGAGGAACACCGAUGGCGAAGGCAGCCUCCUGGGAUAACACUGACGCUCAUGCACGAAAGCGUGGGGAGCAAACAGGAUUAGAUACCCUGGUAGUCCACGCCCUAAACGAUGUCAACUAGCUGUUGGGGUCUUCGGACCUUGGUAGCGCAGCUAACGC